CCUACGGGAGGCAGCAGUGGGGAAUAUUGCGCAAUGGGCGAAAGCCUGACGCAGCGACGCCGCGUGAGGGAUGAAGGUCUUCGGAUCGUUAACCUCUGUCAGCAGGGAAGAACGGUCACUGUGCUAAUCAGCAGUGAAUUGACGGUACCUGCAAAGGAAGCACCGGCUAACUCCGUGCCAGCAGCCGCGGUAAUACGGAGGGUGCGCGCGUUAAUCGGAAUUACUGGGCGUAAAGCGCUCGUAGGCGGGAUGUCAAGUCAAGGGUGAAAUCCCCGCGCUCAACGUAGGAACUGCCUGUGAAACUGGCAAACUGGAGUGUGUGAGAGGAUAGUGGAAUUCCAGGUGUAGGAGGGAAAUCCGUAGAUAUCUGGAGGAACAACAGUGGCGAAGGCGACUAUCUGGCACAUAACUGACGCUGAGGAGCGAAAGCGUGGGUAGCAAACAGGAUUAGAUACCCGGGUAGUC
rnacentral:rRNA from 1 species